rnacentral:lncRNA from 1 species
GUUUGAGGAAUGAGGUGAUUUUUUUUGUCUUGUCUCUGAACAAUCUACUCCAAUCAAAAUAAACAUCCAUCCCUUCUAGGGUCUUUUGCAGAUCCAGAUUUUGCUCCCAUGAUUGACAAUAACACUGACUCUACCAAAAGGACCAAGAAGGAUAAGGCCAUUAUGUAUGCAAGAGGGCCUGGUCCUUUCCUAGGUUCGCCUUGCAGGCUGUACCCCAUGGAUGGCCCUUCAUCACCAGCUCUUACCCCUCCUCCACCAGCUCCUCCACAUACUCAAUUUGGAGAAUUUGAAGUUUGAAGAGGACCCUGAACUGUGACAAAUGGGCUGGGUGAUGUAAUAUAUUUAGAAAAGUUGUCUGAUAUGCAUAUUUGACUAAAUUCUUUCCCUGACCAAUCCUGUCCCCUCUAUUUUGUCUUUCCUCACUUCCCCUGAUAAACCCAUCACAGUUCUGACUCUGUGUCAGUAUCUGCUUCCAGG